GAUGAACGCUGGCGGCGUGCCUAAUACAUGCAAGUCGAGCGAACAGACGAGGUGCUUGCUCCUCUUACGUUAGCGGCGGACGGGUGAGUAACACGUGGAGAACCUACCUUUAAGACUGGGAUAACAUUGGGAAACCGGAGCUAAUACCGGAUAAUAACUUUAAACGUAUGGUUUAACAGUGAAAGAUGCAAUUGCUUUACUUAAUGGUUGUCUCCGGGUGGCAUUGGUAGGUUGGUAGGGAAAGGGCUUACAAAGGCAUCGAUCCUAACCGGACCUGAGAGGGUGAUCGGCCACACUGGAACUGAAACACGGUCCACACUCCUACGGAGGGCAGCGGUAGGAAACCUUCCGCAAGGAGCGAAGUCCGGACGGGGCAACGCCGCGUGGGGGAGGAAGUUCUUCGGAUCUUAAAACUCUGUUAUUAGGAAAGAAGAAAUGUGUAGGUAACUAUGCACGUCUUGACGGUACCUAAUCAGAAAGCCACGGCUAACUACGUG
rnacentral:rRNA from 1 species